rnacentral:sRNA from 1 species
GCGCCGCGGGAUGCCGAGCUGAUCGAGCCCUGGAGGCCCAGCCUGGGCGAGCUGCUGGCCAGGCCCGAGGCUCUGACGCCCAGCAACCUAUUCCUGCUUGCAGUCCUCGGGGCCCUCGCAUCAGCGAGUGCGACAGUGUUGGCGUGGUGAGUUCUGGAGACCCCGGAGCCCCAGCAUCUACCCCCUUCCUCCCUCAGACCCAGGUGUCCAGGACCCCAGAUGUUCUUUCGAUGGUACUGCAGUGGCAACUAACAAAGAUAUCUCUUUCCUCCUUCCCUAUCCUAUUUCCAUCCUGAAAAUAAAGAAUAUAUUUCGACUGU